rnacentral:rRNA from 1 species
UGCCAGCAGCCGCGGUAAUACGGAGGGGGUUAGCGUUGUUCGGAAUUACUGGGCGUAAAGCGCAUGUAGGCGGAACAGAAAGUUAGAAGUGAAAUCCCUGGGCUCAACCUAGGAAUUGCUUUUAAAACUUCUGUUCUGGAAUUCAGGAGAGGAAAAUGGAAUAUCCAGUGUAGAGGUGAAAUUCGUAGAUAUUGGAUGGAACACCAGUGGCGAAGGCGAUUUUCUGGACUGAUAUUGACGCUGAGAUGCGAAGGCAUGGGUAGCGAAGAGGAUUAGAUA